AUGAAGGGGAUAGCUGAUGAACUCGCCGCCGCCGGGAGGCCCCUGGACGAUGAUGAUAUUGUUUCCCACAUCAUCCAGGGUCUCAUGCACGAGCCGGAGUACAGUGGAUUUGUCUCUGCUGUCUCCACACGCACCAUCACCGAUCAGCCGAUCGGCCUGAGCGAGCUUUUCUCGCUGCUUCUCGCAGCGGAAUCACGGAUUGCCGCGCAAACCUCCUCCUACUCCACCAACCUUGCUGCAAAAGGUGGAGGCCGCGGCAACAACAACUAUUCGGGGAACGGCAACAGCGGCAACAACGGGGGCUCCCGUGGCUACAACAACACCAACACGGGGGGGCGCUUCUUCGACAACAACUCCGGCGGCGCUCCUCGUGGUGACCGCGGUGACCGCGAGAAGUGCCAAAUCUGCAAGCUUGAAGGGCACGGGGCAUGGCGCUGCAGGAAGCGUUAUGAUCGCAACUUCAACAACAACGUACGCAAUCCUGCUGGGGGUGGUGGUGGUGGAGGCAAUAGCGGUGGUGGCAAUCGCUCGGCCAACGUUGCUCACUCCUAUGGAGUUGAUACCAACUAG
rnacentral:rRNA from 1 species